GCCUAGCCGUAAAAAAUUAAUUCACAACAACAAGCGCCAGGGUAUUACGAGUGCAAACUUAAAAUCCAAAGGAUUUGACGGUGUCCCACCCACCUAGAGGAGCCUGUUCUAUAAUCGAUAAUCCUCGAUAUACCUCACCAUUUCUUGCUACUCAGUCUGUAUACCUCCGUCGUAAGCUUACCAUUUGAAUGCAAAAAAGUAAGUUUAAUGAUUAUUCAUCAACACGUCAGGUCAAGGUGCAACCAAUGAAACGGGAAGCAAUGGGCUACAAUCUCUAUAAUAGAACACACGAAAUACUACAUGAAAAACAGUCAUGAAGGCGGAUUUAGUAGUAAAAGAAGAACAGCGUGCUUCUUUAAACAAGGCUCUGGGACGUGUACAAACCGCCCGUCACCCUCUUCAAUAGCAUAACUCAAUUCAUAAUUACCAAAAGCAUCUUAGAAGAGGCAAGUCGUAACAUGGUAAGUCUACUGGAAAGUGCACUUGGCAAAU
rnacentral:rRNA from 1 species